GGCAAAGAUAACGCAGAAUUUUGACCGCACCAACAAAAUUGAGAUCACUGACAUCCCACUUUCCAUCCAAACAGAUAAAGGGUAAACAUGUCCACAAGAUAAUGACUUAUGGAGUAGUUAGACUAGUCAUAUUGCGGACAAAGAAACCCACGGCGUGGACAGGUUAGAGUCUAAUUCCCGAUAUAAACAGAUUGACUUUCCUCCCGAUUACAAUUUUCUGCGGAAUAGUUGUAGCCACUUUGUGGAUACUUUGUAAAGAUCUCAUCCAAGCUAAUCCGUCACAACCGGACGAAAGAACCGAAGCGUUCAUUUUCUUGGGCUGGAAAGCAAUAGGGAUGUCAAAAACGGUAUGCUGCAUAAUCCUGGCGGGGGCUGUGUUUUCGGUUUACGCUAGACAUAAAAUUUUAAAUCGCUCACAAGAACUGCCAACGGUGAAAUAUGGAUGUGGAUCAGAUGGGGGAUUGUUUACCCCCGGAAGUCGGGGAGUCUAUAUCGCGGAAAAUAAUCCUGCCCAGGUUGACGUAUAGUUACGAGGACAAAACUCUGCUCCCAACAGCCAUUCCUCUACUCGACUGUAGAUAAUUAUGUAUGUAGAUUUGGAAGUGUAUAUUUACAGUAUAUAAAAGAUGUUUCAGACCCCAACACUUUUCCGAUACGAAUUUUUAUAACGUCGGAACGGCUUCAUGGAAUUGGAUGAAAUUUUGCACAUCUAUUCAACUUGAAGUCAGGUACGGAUUAAUUAAAUCCUGGAUUAUCGAACGGGUCAAAUUGAGACAGGUCGGGGUUAUUUGUAAAAUUCGCAUGUCAAAAAAGUUUUCAGACCCUGCGUGUUUUUUGUACUCCUGCAAUUAUUUCCUACAUAUUCUUGUAAAAUUCAGCAUAAUUUGUCAAGGAAUCUAUCAUCCUUCAAUCAUAAAUUAUUGUGGAAUCUGGCAUAGCAUUAAUUUGCAUUGCGAUUUAUACAGAAUGCGUGGCAAAAAUAUUGUUCUUGGCCUGCGAGAAAAGGUCUUCAAAUUUUACGAGAAGGGACUUGGAUAUAAAAAAAUUGCCAAAAUGCUAAUGAUGAGCAAGGGUACAGUUCAGUGCAUCAUAAAAAAUUCAAAAAGUUUUUCACCGUAGCGAGUUUACCAAAAAUUGUCUGCCAAAAUGCACCACGGCAAGGACGGAUCGUCACAUAGUCUCAAAAAUCGAACAAAAUCCGAAGUUAUCUGCACCAAUUUUGACUGUUGCAGUAAAGGGAGAAUGUGGACUUGAUGUUUCUGCCCAACCUACAAGAAAUCGCAUCCAUCAAUUAGGAUUUAGGGGCAGAUCUACACGGAAGUAACCAUUCUCAACAGGGGGUCAUAUUGCAAAGCGUUUUGCAUGGGCAAAAAAGUCCGGAGCUUGGACCGUGUCAGACAGGAAACGGGUUUCGUGGAGCGAGGAGACCAAGAUUAACAUAUUCGGUGCUGAUGGGGUGACACGAGUGUGGAGAAAAUCCGACAACGCUGAUGAAAUGAAAUAUUGCAAGCCCACGGUAAAACAUGGUGGUGGGAGUCGUAUGGUUUGGGCGUGUACGUAUUCCCUAGAAAGCGGUCAAAAAUUUUGAAAUUAUCAAUGGUAUCAUGGACUCCAACUACUAUCGCGAUAUUCUGGAAACAAAUUUGAUAACAUCUAGAAACAAACUUUGGCUGGGAAACAGUUUCAUAUUUCAACUCGACGGGGACCGUGCACACAGUUCAAGAUUAUUGACGAAUUGGCUCUCCUCUAGUAAUAUUAAAGUUCUCAAUUGGCCUCCACAGUCUCCAGACAUGAAUGUAAUUAAGCACUUGUGGUCAAUUAUCAAAGCAAGAAUUGCCAAACGCAAUCCUGGAAACUUGGGGAGAUUAAGGAAGCGAUCAAAUUGGAGUAGGAACAACUUGACACAUCGUUUACAAACGCGUUGAUGGAAUCAAUGCCAAGACGUUUCACGGCCCUCGUGGAGGCUUACAGUGGACAUACCAAUUACUAAUACUAGUGAAAUAUUGUUCAAAUAUGGAAUAUAAAACAAUUCAUUGCAAAUUUAUUGAGGGUCUGAUUACUUUUUUGACAAUGUGGACAAUUUGGUUCAAUUCCAUGAAGCAGUUCAGACGUUAUAAAAAUUCCCAUGGAAAAAGUGGUGGGGUCUGGAACAUAUUUUAUAUACUGUAUUUCUUAA